rnacentral:rRNA from 1 species
ACGGAGGGGGCUAGCGUUGUUCGGAAUUACUGGGCGUAAAGAGCGCGUAGGCGGCUCGAACAGUUAGGCGUGAAAGGCCUGGGCUUAACCUGGGAACUGCGCUUAAUACUAGCGAGCUUGAGUCCGGAAGGGGGUGGCGGUAUUCCCAGUGUAGAGGUGAAAUUCGGAGAUAUUGGGAAGAACACCGGUGGCGAAGGCGGCCCCCUGGUCCGGAACUGACGCUGAGGUGCGAAAGCGUGGGGAGCAAACAG